rnacentral:lncRNA from 1 species
UCCUGAGAAUGAUGGCCAGAAGGGAGGACGAACAGCUGCUACAAUAGAGGAACCACCGCUUGGAAAGAAUCACCCGCUAAGGUGGGACAGCGCCGAUUGUUUUGAGUUGUGAGGGCGCGUCUGGUGUCGGAUUGAGGAGCGGUUUUCACCACUAGAUUCUUCUCUUCCAGGGCUUCAAAAUGAUAUGUAGAUCGCCUUCUAACUCCUUGUAUUUUGAGAGAUAUUAUCGUUUGAAGUUGAGCUUCGUGCUGAUAACGUGUUGAGAGAAAAACUAGGAUCUUAUUAUUUUCCAUAAGCAAUAUAUAUAUACAUUACAUAACUAAUGUAUCAGAAACCCUAAUGGGCUAUAUGAGACAUUAACCUGAUGGUUAAUAGGCCGGUUACUAGAAGUCCAUUUGUUUAUAACAACAUGAACAAUAAUUCGUUUUCUAUUAAAAAUGAAUAGAAAAUAAAAAUGAGCAAUAAAUAACAGAACAUAAACAAUAAUUCAUUUUCUAUCGUAAGAAAACAAAAAAAACAGAGAACAAUAAAAUACAAUAAAAUAGAAAUGAAACUCAUACAAAAGAAUUAAUAAUAAUAGAAAAAAAAAUCUUUACGUAGUGUUAAGGAAAUCUUCGUGUACGUAGUAUACUUUGAAUGGAACAACAAUUAAACAAACAAAACGAUCUGGAGAACUGAGAAUCUGAAAAUAAUCAGAGGGAUCAAAACAGAGGAAUCUACGAUCUAGAACUUGCCUUAUACACCAGAGAAACGAAGACAAUUAAAACAAGGAAAUCGACCUGGAGAACUGAGAGCUUGAGAAACACACCUUCCGUGAAAUUCGUGAUCAGAUGUAGGAGAAGAAGAAACCUGCAGAAGGAGAAGAGGAAGCAAACGCAGACUUAGAACUGAUCACUACUGAAUCAUAAGCGAGCCAUGAGCGAGCCAGUCUAUAUAUAAGCUCAAACCGGUUUUGCUAGUGUCAUGGUUCCGGUUCAAUUG